rnacentral:tRNA from 2 species
UGCAGAUGUGGUGGAAUCGGCAGACACGCAGGUUUAAGGAGCCUGUGCUUUAUAGGCGUACGGGUUCAAGUCCCGUCAUCUGCACCAA